GAUGAACGCUGGCGGCGUGCCUAAUACAUGCAAGUCGAGCGAACAGACGAGGAUCUUGCUCCUCUGACGUUAGCGGCGGACGGGUGAGUAACACGUGGAUAACCCACCUAUAAGACUGGGAUAACUUCGGGAAACCGGAGCUAAUACCGGGUAAUAUAUUGAACCGCAUGGUUCAAUAGUGAAAGACGGUUUUGCUGUCACUUAUAGAUGGAUCCGCGCCGCAUUAGCUAGUUGGUAAGGUAACGGCUUACCAAGGCAACGAUGCGUAGCCGACCUGAGAGGGUGAACGGCCACACUGGAACUGAGACACGGUCCAGACUCCUACGGGAGGCAGCAGUAGGGAAUCUUCCGCAAUGGGCGAAAGACUGACGGAGCAACGCCGCGUGAGUGAUGAAGGUCUUCGGAUCGUAAAACUCUGUUAUGAGGGAAGAACAAAUGUGUAAGUAACUAUGCACGUCUUGACGGUACCUAAUCAGAAAGCCACGGCUAACUACGUG
rnacentral:rRNA from 1 species